UUUCCGUAGGUGAACCUGCGGAAGGAUCAUUCAUAAUAAAGUGUUUUAUGGCACUUUUUAAGAUUCCAUAUCCACCUUGUGUGCAAUGUUAUAUCUCGUCAAUCUUGGCGAGAUUUUUAUACAUCAACUCAUUCUUUAACUAAUUUGUCUGAAAAAUAUUAUGAAUACUUAAUUCAAAAUACAACUUUCAACAACGGAUCUCUUGGCUCUC
rnacentral:misc_RNA from 1 species